UUUAUCAUGUUAACUAACAGGAAAACCAAAGCUAUAGUUUACAUAAUAAAUGCAGUAAUUCGAUUGCAGUUACUGUGUGGUACAUAUUUCACUUAUUCGCUUCUCAAUAACAAGGGUAGACACAUACGCAGCGCUUACCAUGUGCCAGCACUUAAAUAUAUGAAUUAAUGGAAGCCUUGCAACAACUGUGUGAGAGGUAGAUAGCAUCCAUUUUACAAGAUCAGAAAAUGAGGCACUGCAGUAACUUACCCAAGCUCAUUCAGCUAGGAAGUGAUGGAGCUGCAACCAACAGAGCGGGCAGUCUGGCUCCAAACCUUAAGCUCUUGGCCUCCAUGCUAUGCUGGCCCUCAGAAAGUUAGGGAAGAAAUCUGGACUUCUAAAAUGGAUGUACUCAAUUCUGCCAAACAUUGUAUUAUAGGACUCCAGCACACAGUCUGACACAUACAAAGCUCUUGAUAAAUAUCUAAUAACUACACAAAAUCCAAAUCAAUUCAGUUCAAAGAGCAUGGUGUUUUAAGAGUUAACUGCACAAUCGUGAUGCUAAUAAAUUGGGAACAUUUUAUCCUCAAAAACAGUAAGCAUUUCAGAGCUGUGGAACUCAAUUACUAUAUUGAUAUCAUAUUUAAUUUAUGAUCUAUGUAUUUCUCCCUAAUGGUAACAUUUACAAGGAAACUUAGAUCUAGGCCAAAUCCUGGUUUCACAGACGAGACUACAACCUAAGCAGAAUAACUGGGUUGAUGAUAGAAACUCAGCUAGGCUUGCAGUGUCCUCUUGGUGCCUUCUCUUUUGCCAGUGUGGGGGCUGGUGCCUCGUAUUGUUAGAUGAGUCAUUAUUAAUUCUCACUUUGGACAAAUACAGGGCUCUGCUCUUCCCACAUCUCGACUGCUCUCUAAUGAAUUGAGCCUUGACAACUUUCAUGACUCUAGAACCCUGGAAACAAACCACCCAAUGAACACAUUCACUUUCAAAGGGCAGAGAACAGCAUUCUUUAUUUGGUCUUCACACAAGUGAACACACACAGACAUUUCUUGGCUAUGAGUGCAGUAAUUGGCUUUUUCCAGAGUUAUCUUGAUCUAGAUUUAUAGUGCAAAAAAAAAAAAAAAGAGAAAAAGACUGCAUUCUACUUUGACUCACAGUAUCAUAAAUACACUCAAGAUUCACCACAGAACCAGCCUUCACCUGUCAUUGUCUUGGAUAAAGGCUAACGAAGGAAGGCUUCUGAAGUGCCACAGGGACUAGGUUUCAGUAGAGGGUCUUUGCAGUAACUUCUGCACCAGAAAGCUGUCAUGUUAACAUUUGUGGGAUGGGCAGCUUCUAAAGCAGCCUCAGGGUCCCGGAAGUUGUCUUAGGGCUGGAAGCCCCUUUUCAGAGAAGAUCCAUGCUAUAGUACUCCAUCCCACUUCCUAGUGGCCUGUGACCAAGGUCCACUUUUGUUUGCUAAUCUACCCAAUGUGUCAAGCAGAAUACAAUCAUUGUCACUGGCUUAGAAAAGGACAAUAACAGAGAAUCAAGUACUAUUUUGAGAGAAGAGAACUGGAAUCUUCCUACAGAGACUCCUAUUGCUUUGAAAGGCUUUAAGCAGUGGGGGGCCUUCUGCAGGGCACCCCCCCCCCAUCUUGGGUGCAGUUGGAAAGCAGCAGCCACAGGAGGGCUCUGCGGUUUUCCAAGAAAACCCCACUCCCUGCCUCUAGGCCCCUCACCCUCGAGACGCAGAGGGCAGGGCAGCAGCACGUGGCCAUCCGUGGGCACAGCAGGCCCCGCCGUUGCCCUCGGAGAGGUCACCUGCCCACCGCGGCGCUCAGGCGGGGCAGAGCCGGCAGAAAGAAGGUCGGCGUCGCCAGCGCCACGCCUCUAAGCGCCGCUCUGUGGCUGCGAGGCGAGGAUAACCCGACGCUCCACCGGGAGCUGCUCCAAACCAAAGGGCCCGGCUCACCCGGGGAGGGCGGGCGGAGGGCCUGCGGGUCGGGGGGAGAGGCGGCCCGAGGGCAGAAGAAAAGCCGAAGCUGUCGCCCCAUUCAGACCUUCUAAAGGGUUUCUGCUGGAAACUGCGCCCUGUGGAGAAGAGGGGACCCGCACGCCAUCUAGGAACAAAAGAUGAGGCAAUGCGGGAGCAAGGUCAUCUCUUCGGCAGGAACCAGGUGGGUGUACUAAAUGGAUACAUCCUGUUUAAAACGAAUGUGCCAAAUGCCACAAAGCCACCGUCUAAUCAGCAGAUUAGAAAGAUCUUGUCUGAGAAAUACUGUGAUGCAACCCACAUCGCUACCCAGCUCACCCUGUGUUUUAGAGUGAGUUCCUCACCAUGAACUUGGGAAUAAACUGACACUUGGCUGUCCCCGAGGUUGUGUGGCGCAUGCUGAGAUACACAACUUGCAAACUAAAAUCUGCCAGUGUACAAGUCAAAACAGGGAUUCUGCACUACCCCAGCCUGAUUGACCCUUGAUGAUUCCAUCAUUCUGCACAUGACUCCAUGGGCUGAAGAAAAGGUGAUGAAGAACAUUGAUGAUGUAUUGGAAAUUAGUGACCAUUCGUGUAAUUAAAAAAAAAAAAAAAGACAAUCAAGAGGUUGGGAAUGGACUUUGUGGUUAAAGAAACUUUGGGUACUGGAAAUACCGUGGAGAUUAAGUCUCUCUUUAUCUUCCAUUUAUUAUUCAGAGAUGACAUCUCCUUUUCUUCUUCACCUACUUAAGGUGUAUGGGGCAAGAAGGGGAGGUUCUCUUUGAAGGCUACAAGUUUAACUUGCUCAUUCAGUUUCUCCUUACCAACAGCAAGAAGAAAAAUUAUAUAUUUAUAUACAUUACUUACAAAUAAAUUCAAGAAGGUGAUUCUCCUUUCUUCUCCACACCAUCUCCAAAGUCUCACUCAGCUUUUCAAAGACAAGUUAAAGUAACAGACAUUUCAGUUUGAAAAUUUAUUUCUGGAAUUGUUCCUGGCCCCAGGGAUCAUUUAAGGUAAAUGAUCAUCUCUCACAGGUUUUCUCUUAACUGAGUAAAAAGUAGGUAUAGUUUAUAAGAAUUUCUGAAUUAAGAUUAUUAGGGUUUAUAAGGAACUUUAAUAAAAGGGUUUGACCUACUUAAAAGGAAUGGGUCAGAAGUUUUAGGCACCUUUUGUCAGUUUAAUUAAUGCUACCUUCUGUAGUAAUGUAUUGCAAAAGUUCUGGUAUCUUCAGAACUUUCAUCCAAACACUAUGAUAAACAGAAGAUACAUUAGGGAGACCUCAGUGUUCAUCUUAGCAAAAUGUCCAGGCUUAAUGCCUCACCCUCUGAAUGGCUUGCUUUGACAUUGCUCUUUUCAGGCCAAUGAAUCAACAACAAUUUACUAAGAUAAUUUUAAAAUGGUUACUCACACAUGAGAUCAUCAUACUGGUACCCUGCCAUAUGUUAUUAAAUUGUCUCAGGUCACAGCAAACCCUUUCAGCUACAGCGUGAACAGUUACAGCCAGGGAGUAGGUCAUAAUGAGAAAAGACCAAGAAGACGGCUUAGUUACCUGCAAAUGCAAUUAUGCUGCAUCUGGGCAAGGAUGAUGUUUCCUCUGAGCUCCCAACCUUACUAGCAAACAUCAAAAAUUAGGACUAAUGUAAAAUAGGAAUCCUCAUUCACAGCUGAUAAGAUUGUAAAUUAGUACAACCACUUUGGAAAUCUGUUUGUAAUUACCUACUGAACUGAACAUUUAUACCAAGAGACAUGUGCAAAACUGUUCAUGGUAGUGAUAUUUGCAAUAGCCCCCAUAAUGGAAAUAACUCAGAUUUUCAUGAACAGCAGACCGGAUUUUUUAGUGUGGUAUAGUCAUACAAUGGAACAGCAUUCAGCAAUGAAAAUGAAAUUACAGCUACUUGGAACCACUUGGAUGACAUUUCUUAAACAUAAUGUUGAGUGAAAGAAUCCCCACAGAUUAAGAACCUGAAUAUCUACUUAUAAAAACAUCCAAAAAUAGGGGCGCCUGGGUGGCUCAGUCGUUAAGUGUCUGCCUUUGGCUCAGGUCACGAUCCCAGGGUUCUGGGAUCAAGCCCGCAUCAGGCUCCCUGCUCCGUGGGAAG